AGAAUCAACGCUGGCGGCGUGCCUAACACAUGCAAGUCGAACGAGAAAGUGGAGCAAUCCAUGAGUAAAGUGGCGCACGGGUGAGUAACACGUGACUAACCUACCCUUGAGUGGGGGGAUAACCUCGGGAAACCGGGGCUAAUACCGCAUAACAUCGAGAGAUCAAAGGAGCAAUUCGCUUAAGGAGGGGGUCGCGGCUGAUUAGCUAGUUGGUGAGGUAAUGGCUCACCAAGGCUAUGAUCAGUAUCCGGCCUGAGAGGGCGCACGGACACACUGGAACUGAAACACGGUCCAGACUCCUACGGGAGGCAGCAGUGGGGAAUUUUGCGCAAUGGGGGAAACCCUGACGCAGCAACGCCGCGUGGAGGAUGAAGUCCCUUGGGACGUAAACUCCUUUCGAUCGGGACGAUAAUGACGGUACCGGAAGAAGAAGCCCGGCUAACUCGCGCCAGCAGCCGC
rnacentral:rRNA from 1 species